GGUUGAUCCUGCCGGACCUUACUGCUAUCGGGAUGGGACUAAGACAUGUUAGUUGUGCGCCUCCUAGCCAUGAUGGAGGCGCGGCGCACAGCUCAGUAGCACAUGGCUAACCUGCCCUUGGGACGAGAACAACCCCGGGAAACUGGGGCUAAUCCUUGAUAGGCGUGGACUCCUGGAAUGGAUUCACACCUAAAAGACGCCUAGAUCAUGCUUUAGACGCCGCCUAAGGAUGGGGCCGCAACCGAUCAGGUUGUUGGCGAGGCAACGGCUCACCAAGCCUAUAACCGGUACGGGCCGCGGGAGCGGUAGCCCGGAGAUGGACACUGAGACAAGGGUCCAGGCCCUACGGGGCGCAGCAGUUACGAAAACUCCGCAAUGCACGAAAGUGUGACGGGGCUAUCCCGAGUGCCGUCCGCUGAGGAUGGCUUUUCUCCAGUCUAAGGAGCUGGAGGAAUAAGGAGAGGGCAAGUCUGGUGUCAGCCGCCGCGGUAAUACCAGCUCUCCGAGUGGUAAGGACGAUUAUUGGGCCUAAAGCGUCCGUAGCCGGCUCAGCAAGUCCUCCGUUAAAUCCAGCGAUUUAAUCGUUGGACUGCGGGGGAUACUGUUGGGCUUGGGGACAAGAGAGGCCGACGGUAUUCUCGGAGUAGGGGUGAAAUCCUAUAAUUCCGGGAGGACCACCAGUGGCGAAGGCUGUCGGCUAGAACGAGCUCGACGGUGAGGGACGAAAGCUGGGGGAGCAAACCGGAUUAGAUACCCGGGUAGUCCCAGCUGUAAACGAUGCGGGCUAGGUGUUAGGGUGGCUACGAGCCACUCUAGUGCCGCAGCGAAAGGCAUUAAGCCCGCCGCCUGGGGAGUACGGCCGCAAGGCUGAAACUUAAAGGGAAUGGCGGGGAGCACACAAGGCGUGAAGCGUGCGGUUUAAUUGGAGUCAACGCCGGG
rnacentral:rRNA from 1 species